CCGAAAAUAGCUCAGCGGUAGAGCGGGAGACUGUAGUUUGUUCAGUACACUUGAUGUGGUUAUCUCUAGGUCCCUGGUUCAAAUCCGGGUUUUCGGA